UACGUAGGGUGCGAGCGUUGUCCGGAAUUACUGGGCGUAAAGAGCUCGUAGGUGGUUUGUCGCGUUGUUCGUGAAAACCGGGGGCUUAACCCUCGGCGUGCGGGCGAUACGGGCAGACUGGAGUACUGCAGGGGAGACUGGAAUUCCUGGUGUAGCGGUGGAAUGCGCAGAUAUCAGGAGGAACACCGGUGGCGAAGGCAGGUCUCUGGGCAGUAACUGACGCUGAGGAGCGAAAGCGUGGGGAGCGAACAGG
rnacentral:rRNA from 1 species